UGGGGAAUCUUGCACAAUGGGGGCAACCCUGAUGCAGCGACGCCGCGUGAGCGAUGAAGCCCUUCGGGGCGUAAAGCUCUUUCGACCGGAACGAUAAUGACGGUACCGGGAGAAGAAGCUGGGGCUAACUACGUGCCAGCAGCCGCGGUAAUACGUAGGCAGCAAGCGUUGUUCGGAGUUACUGGGCGUAAGGAGUGCGUAGGCGGUUUUCUAAGUUCGGAGUGAAAUCUCCCGGCUUAACUGGGAGGGUGCGCCGAAGACUGGGAAGCUGGAGUGUGGGAAAGGCAGGCGGAAUUCCUGGUGUAGCGGUGAAAUGCGUAGAUAUCAGGAGGAACACCGGCGGUGUAGACGGCUUGCUAGACCAUAACUGACGCUGAGGCACGAAAGCGUGGGUAGCAAACA
rnacentral:rRNA from 1 species